rnacentral:rRNA from 1 species
CCUACGGGAGGCAGCAGUGGGGAAUAUUGGGCAAUGGGCGCAAGCCUGACCCAGCAACGCCGCGUGAAGGAAGAAGGCCCUCGGGUUGUAAACUUCUUUUGUCAGGGACGAAGAAAGUGACGGUACCUGACGAAUAAGCCACGGCUAACUACGUGCCAGCAGCCGCGGUACUACGUAGGUGGCAAGCGUUAUCCGGAUUUACUGGGUGUAAAGGGCGUGUAGGCGGGACGGCAAGUCAGAUGUGAAAUUCCAGGGCUCAACCCUGGAACUGCAUUUGAAACUGUAGUUCUUGAGUGAUGGAGAGGCAGGCGGAAUUCCGGGUGUAGCGGUGAAAUGCGUAGAGAUACGGAGGAACACCAGUGGCGAAGGCGGCCUGCUGGACAUUAACUGACGCUGAGGCGCGAAAGCGUGGGGAGCAAACAGGAUUAGAUACCCCUGUAGUC